rnacentral:rRNA from 1 species
UACGUAGGGUGCGAGCGUUGUCCGGAAUUAUUGGGCGUAAAGGGCGUGUAGGCGGCGCGGUAAGUCGGGUGUGAAAUCUCGGGGCUUAACUCCGAAACUGCAUUCGAUACUGCCGUGCUUGAGGACUGGAGAGGAGACUGGAAUUUACGGUGUAGCGGUGAAAUGCGUAGAUAUCGUAAGGAAGGCCAGUGGCGAAGGCGGGUCUCUGGACAGUUCCUGACGCUGAGGCACGAAGGCCAGGGGAGCAAACGGG